UUCACCCUUCACUGUGACCACCAAGCUUUUCUACACGCCAGUGAGUCUGUACAGCCCAGUGAGGAAAUGAAAACUCUCUUGAACCCUGAGUAUCUGGAGCGUGAUGCCCAUGCAAUGUUCUCACAGCUUAUGGAAACUUAUGAACCUUGGUUUUCUACUUUUGAGCACAAUGGUCAAAAGGGAAAAGAAACGUUGAUGACCCCCAUUCCCUUUGCUCAAUCACAGGACUUAGGCCCAACAGUUGCCAUUGUUACAAAAGUCAACCAGAUCCAGGAUCAUCUACUGAAGAAGCAUGAUACUGAGCUCUACAUGCACUUGAACAGACUAUAAAUGGCACCACAAAUACAUGGGUU
rnacentral:lncRNA from 1 species